AUUCCAUGAUGUGGGCACUUUCUUUGCAUCUCUUUAAAACAUUUCCGUGCAUCAUAGAAAGACUCCCCAUCCAACUGAUGAAAGUUAUUAAUCUCUCCUCUAUAUC